GCACCAGGUCCUUAUGUAUUUUUUUUUUCUUUGUACCAAGGUAUUUCCAAGCAUAACAGCACCUCCAAAGUUUCCAAGGGAAAAGCCAGUCUACUCUGUGCUGUGCUUCCUCCAAGCAUCUCUUUACAGAGCCAACAGACGAGAAGAAUUAAGAGCCUGAAAACAAUGUAUAGAAUCCCAUCACGAACCAUAAAUCAGAUGUUCCAAGGUCCCGGUGAGCUCGGUUUCUCUCGCACAGCAAAUCUUGUAAGCCCUUUCAUGCCAGAUGUGUUAUCCCUUCAAGGGACAUGAGCAGCUUGAAAGAGGAGCAGAAACUGGGAACACUAAUAGGUUAAAAAUACUUUAAACCACAAGGCAAAGGAAACAAUUAAACCAUCUUACAGUCA